UACGUAGGGUGCAAGCGUUGUCCGGAAUUAUUGGGCGUAAAGAGCUCGUAGGCGGUUUGUCACGUCGGAUGUGAAAACCCGAGGCUUAACCUCGGGCCUGCAUUCGAUACGGGCUGACUAGAGUUCGGUAGGGGAGACUGGAAUUCCUGGUGUAGCGGUGAAAUGCGCAGAUAUCAGGAGGAACACCGGUGGCGAAGGCGGGUCUCUGGGCCGUAACUGACGCUGAGGAGCGAAAGCGUGGGGAGCGAACAGG
rnacentral:rRNA from 1 species